rnacentral:misc_RNA from 1 species
UAGCUGCCCUCGCCCAGUGCUCCACC